rnacentral:rRNA from 1 species
UUACCUACGGGGCGCAGCAGUAGGGAAUCUUCCACAAUGGGCGAAAGCCUGAUGGAGCAACGCCGCGUGGGUGAAGAAGGUCUUCGGAUCGUAAAACCCUGUUGUUAGAGAAGAAAGUGCGUGAGAGUAACUGUUCACGUUUCGACGGUAUCUAACCAGAAAGCCACGGCUAACUACGUGCCAGCAGCCGCGGUAAUACGUAGGUGGCAAGCGUUAUCAGGAUUUAUUGGGCGUAAAGGGAAAGCAGGAGGUAUUUUA